CCGUGAAGUAGGAAGGACUAAUGGUGAGAUCAUGUGUGAGUGUAUCCCUCCGCCUCUUCUGUUUUACUACUUGAAGGGUACGGUACGCACUGGGCGAAACGCAGAGCAGCGUUUCAAAGAAGAACUACUUUAUCUCAUGGCUGCGGAAGAAAAUGGUGUUUACAGUGAGGAAAGGGGUGAUGCUGGGCUGCAUAGAAAUUAAAAUGUACGGAUGUAGUGUGAAUCGCAUGACACGUUUGCAUGUUCAUUUGCUCAUAAUCAUCUGUAAAGUUUUAAGGCUACUUCACCAGUAUAAACACGUAAUGUUAUUUAUUCCAGACUAAUGAAAAUAUGCAUACAGUAUUCAUAUCUUAUUUCGUUUCAUAUUACAGUCUGUCGCACAUAGCCUACGUCACCACUUCGUCAGUAUGAAGCAAAUGGUCGGGGCUGUCAAAUGUAAAGUUACAGGACAUGGUAUCACAGAAAUAUUAAAUUAUAUUGUAUCUGAAAGUAGCCUACGGUUUAUUAAUGAUGUCAGUAUCAACAUUUUUGAAACAAAUGUGUCCAUUUAUUCUUAGACAGGCUGAUGACAGAUUUAAAAGCAUUUCGCUACAACUGCAAUAACAUCUGCUAAACACGUGUAUGUGACCAAUACAAAUUGAUUUGACUUGACUUGAUGACACAAAAAUUGAAUAAAACGUUAAAUGGGCCUACUUUAAUCUUUCCCACAUCUUGCAUUUUAUCGAACUGUAGAUGAGGUUCCUCUUAUUUAGAUCAAAUGUGCCUUUGUUUGCCUGUUGUAAUAUUUCAGUCACUUUUGGGGGCUCUCCUUAACUUCUUAUUUCUCUUAUUUCUCGAUCUCUCUCACGCACACACACACACCAAUAAUGUGUCGUAUUUCAUUCUGUGCUGCCACAGUCGAUGCAGAGCAACAUAUGGAAACACCCAGCCAGGGAGGCUCGGGCAAAUGGACCAUUUACUUGCCUGACACUUUAAUCAGUGUAUCCAUAAAUGUACAUUGGACUUUUUGUGAUCCAUCGACGAACAGCCAGAUAAUCAGAAAGAGAGAUCAUUGGGGGGUAAUCAAGCAACAGAAGUAGUAGAGGGGAGGAGUAGGCUGUAGGUAGAGAGAUUACACUGUAUUUUAUGCUUUAUGUAAGGAGCUUACGUAGUGGGGUUUUGAAGAGGAGAAUUAAUGCAAACAGAUGGGCACCCUUUUGGUCUCUCUCACACCGGCCUGUUCCUAGAGUUGGACAGCAUAGCACUCAACCAGUUGGGCUUGGAGCCAUAUAAAUGCCAUGGGAAAUAAAAACAAAAUAUUCACACUGGUGGGAAUAAGUCCCCAGAGACAUCUCCUUCAAAGUUGAUCGGGCUGUAGAUUGUGCCUGUGGAAUGUUGUCCUACUCCUCUUUAAUGGCUGUGUGAAGUUGUUGGCUAUUGGUAGGAACUGGAAUGCGCUGUCGUACUCGUUGAUCCAGAGCAUCCCAAACAUAUUCAAUGGGUGACAUGUCUGGUGAGUAUACAGGCCAUAGGAGAACUGGGACAUGUUCAGCUUCCAGGAAUUGUGUACAGAUCCUUGUGACAUGAGCCCAUGCAUUAUCAUGCUCUAACAUGAGGUGAUGGCGGAGGAUGAAUGGCACGACAAUGGGCCUCAGGACCUGGUCACAGUAUCUCUGUGCAUUCAAAAUGCCAUCGAUAAAAUGCAAUUGUGUUCGUUGUCUGUAGCUUAUACCUGCCCAUACCAUAACUCCACCGCCACCAUGGGGCACUCUGUUCACAACGUUGAUAUCAGCAAACCGCUUUCCCACAUGACGCCAUAAACGCUGUCUGCCAUCUGCCCAGUACAGUUGAAACCGGGAUUCAUCCAUGAAGAGCACACAUCUCCAGCAUGUCAGUGGCCAUGGAAUGUGAGCAUUUGCCCACUGAAGGCUGUUACGAAGCCAAACUGCAGUCAGGUCAAUACCCUGGUGAGGACGACGAGCACGCAGAUGAGCUUCCCUGAGAUGGUUUCUGACAGUUUGUGCAGAAAUUCUUCGGUUCUGCAAAUCCACAGUUUCAGCAGCUGUCCGGGUGGCUGGUCUCUGAUGAUCCCACAUGUGAAGAAGUUGGGUGUGGAGGUUCUGGGUUGCCGUGGUUACACGUGGUCUCCGGUUGUGAGGCCGGUUGGAUGUACUACCAAAUUCUCUAAAACGAUGUUGGAGGCAGUUUAUGGUAAAUAAAUUAACAUUAAAUUCUCAGGCAACAGCUCUGGUGGACAUUCCUGCAUUCGGCAUGUCUAUUGCACGCUCCCUCACAACUUGAGACAUCUGUGGCAUUGUGUUGUGUGACAGAACUGCACAUGAUGAUGAGUGGCCUUUUAUUGUCUCCGGCAUAAGGUGCACCUGUGUAAUGAUCAUGCUGUAUAAUCAGGUUCUUUAUAUGCCACACCUGUCAGGUGGAUGGAUUAUCUUGGCAAAGGAGAAAUGCUCAUCACUAACAGGGAUGUACACUUAUUUGUGCAAACAAUUUGAGAGAAAUAAGCUUUUUGUGCAUAUGGAACAUGACACAUAUGGCACCAACACUUUACAUGUUGCAUUUAUAUUUUUGUUCAGUAUACAUUAUUAUUUUGAUAAGGGGUUCACUUGCAGUUAGAAAACUUUGUUUAUUCUGAAACAUUCAUCAAGAGCUAUGUAAUGUUAUGGAAGAUCAGGUAAGUGUCCAAGCACAUUCCACACAAUAGUUACUUCUCACAAAUAAGCAAUGUUUUCAAAAGUCACCAUAAUAUUAGUUGUGUAGACAAUAUGCAGGCAGCACUAUGUAGAGGAUCCUGAUUGUGGGGACACAUAUAUGGUCAUAUUGUUGCAUGAGGUUAAUGUUUUUAGUUGAAAGAAAAAGGGUUCCACAAUGACAUUAUGAGUGUCUCUGUCUCAGUUGAUUUGGCGUUCAAGCAAAAUGCAGUGUCCCUAGUGACCUAGCUGCCUCUCUCACCCAGACUUACGCAGGCUAGAGACCCUUCAUCCCAUCCAAACAAACACAUUAGCAACAAGAGGCUUUGAAGGAGGGAAGCAGGCCGUUAUAGUGAUGUAACCUGAUUGCUCUUUAUCAGGGCUCUUGUGUCCAACAGACCAGAAUCAGUACCAAUCAGAGUGUGUGUGUGGUGCCCAUAUUUUUUUUGACAUAGGCUACAGCUAAAUCUUCUUAAUAGGAGUUGUGGGAAAUUGAUAUCUGACAUUCUUGUAAAUAUUGUUUUUCACUGCCUCACCCUUGCUCUCUCCUCUUGCUCCCUCUUCAUAAGCCAAUCUUUCCUUUAUUUUUUCCCUUCUAUUCCCCUCUCCCUCUCUUUCUCUCCGUGUGGAGAGUGUGUUAGUCCACGUGAAAGGUGUGUGGGUGCAGCUCCCUCUCUCUGCAGUGACCUGCUGCUCCGCUGCACUUGGCUUCCAAAGCAUCCUGUCGGCUGCCUAGCAACACUCAGUGUCCAUGGCAACGGAGCCAACAAACCUUCCCACCUCCAUCAGCUGUACCCCUACAAUCAGAGCUUAAAUGUGGCAAUCAGGAGGAGGACUGGAAUCCAGUAUCUGGGCUAUAGUGAACAGGUGGAGUCAAAUGUUACAGUGAAGCAAUCACCAUGUGUUAAUACUAGUUGUUUUUUCAGCUAAGACUACCAAACUGCUGAGGGUUCAAAAAGGGUGACAGGUUCUCGAGAACCAGGAUGCCCAAAUGAGAGACUAGAGGGAGGCCAAGUAAUUGCACCAGUGUAGAGUUUCCAAAGUGCAGAGGCUGUAUCUGUUAUUUUGUAAAGGGAAUACAACAUAAAAAGUAACUAAGCCAGGGUCAAAUUAGUUUUCAACUUUGACCUUCUUGUCUUUCAUUCCAAUAUGAAAAAACUGUAAAAAGUUAUGAUUGAGAUUGUCUUAACAGAAGCCCACCUGAGUUUUCGUUCUGAUUAGAGACAGACAUGGAUGCAUAUAGGCCUACUGUAUACAUUAAUGUGAACAAUACAUUUAUGGCUUUGGUUAGAGCAGGCUCUUCUACCCUGUUCCUGGAGAGCUACCCUCCUGUAGGUUUUCGCUCUAGUCCAAACCUGAUUCAGUUUAUCAACCAGAUAAUUAUUAAAAUCGGGAUAGAUUAGGGUGAAUUAGAGUGAAAACCUACAGGACGGCAGCUCUCCAGAGACAGGAUUGGAAAGCCCUGGGUUAGAGGUAGUGUGCCCCCUCUAGCGGGUAUAAGUAAGCAUUACACCCAAGUGAAAAUUGACAGCAAGGUCGUAGUUCACCUGUUCCAAAGAUAUCAUGAAUUCACUGUUGACGACUUACACCAUUUAUGACAUUUUUACAUUGCUUUGUAACUGGUUUGAUAUAUGAUCACAUUGAAAUGAGGACAUGACUGUGUGUGGGCUUAAUUCAAUUGAAUCCACAUGUAGGAUUUACACACUUGUAAACAUGCCUUUUUACACCUAUUGUUUAGGGUUUGAUUGAUUCUGGUUCUACACAGUCAGUACAUUAUGCCUACUCUCUCAGUUGCUGAUGUAUUUAAAAGUAACCCAUUUUAAAGCAGCUGAUGGAUAUAGAAUGGCCAUGUAGUGUUACAGUGAAUGGAGGAUUAGAGGCCUAUUACCAUUUAAACAAAGUCUAUGAGCCCAUGCAUUUUUUUAAUUACAAUGCUAGGAUACUGCAUGCAAAUUAAUAGAAUGGAAAUCGGUAUAAUUAGGCCAAUUUAAUUUGACACCAAUGUUUUUUGGAAUAAACAUCAUGUAAUGGACAAAUAAAAUCACUUGGUGGCGACCUCUAUCAAGGAAUUGGCCUA